ensembl:lncRNA
GGCACAUGAAAUGGAUUUGAGUAAUGACUACCCAGGGCUUUGGUUUGUGACAGGAAGGUCAAAGAAAAGCAUGACAAUGCAGACUGAUGUCAGGAGAACAAGAUUUUCCAAGGAUGGAGUCGGGCGGCGCUUAUCAGCGAUGCUGACGGUCCACGGCUGCGUUCGCUUGUUAGGGCUCAUAUCACAGAGCACCAGGGGGCUUCCCAGGGGGCGCUGGUGGUAAAGAAUCCGCUGGCCAAUCCAGGAGACCUAAGAGAAGCGGCUCUGAUCCCUGGGCCGGGAAGAUCCCCUGGAGGGCACGGCAGUCCACUCCAGUACUCUCGUCUAGAGAAUCCCAUGGACAGAAGAGCCUGGUGGCUGCAGUCACAAAAAACUCAGACGUGACUUAGUGACUAAACAACAAAAGGAAAUGCGGGCAUUAGAUAGUCCUUGGCUGGCAUUUCGAUCGCACGGCAUACACUCUCUCAUCACUGCAACAGGGUCACUUACUAAAUACAUCUAAGAGGAACUCUGACAGUCCUGAGAAAUCUGACCACGUGACUCUGGCACAACACAGA